CAAUCAGCCUGCAGCUGAAGUUCUGCGACCAGUUCAGGGCAAGCUGCUUCCAGAGUGUCACUGAUGAGCAAGAGCAUGUUCAAACAGGAUAACCAGCGUAAUGAGCUGUCUGGAGAUCGUGUCGUCUGAACAAUUGUUGAAAGGGCAGGAAAUUUUCUUCUCUUGUAUUUUUUUUUCUGUAAGGCAAGAGUCUUCAGGGGAACAGGGGCUGCAGAUGACACCUUCCUUCAGCAAGAUUCAUUUCUAUUCAUUUGUUGAUACUGUCAGCCUUUCAACCAUGGGAGCAUGUAUAGCCUGAGCAAUUUGCAAAGCAUAACAAAUCAUCCCUCAGAGGAAAAAAGCCAGCUCCCAUUUUUGCUAAUCCCUGCUAAGUUGUUAAUGAAUAAAUGAUAACUGAGC